CGUCUCGUUUGUAGUGUAGUUCGCCAUGGAGGCAGCUCGUAAAGCACUGGCUGUAGUUGCAGUGCUAGGCGCGGGAGGUGGCGUGGGUUCUAUUCUGUUUGCCUUAGUGACCCCAGGAGAACUACAGAAGCAGUUAAUGCUGCAGGUAGAAACAACCGGACUCCCCGAGGUGGGUGUGCGAAGGGAGAGUCCCUGUCUUUUGUUCCGGGAUGCAAACAUACUUCUUGCCCACAGGAGAUGCCGGAAAGGGACUCGCGGCGCAGGGACGAAGCAGUCAGGACCAAGGAACUGGUGAUGGCUACCCUGAAGGACGCCGCAGCCACGAAGGAGAACGUGGCCUGGAGGAGGAACUGGACAGUUAGAGGCGACGGCAGGUCAGCAUGACACCAGAGCUUGCCCAUGGUCGUGGGAAUCUGUAAGGCACCUUUCUUGGUGCUCCAGACAUGAAGUCGGGAUUCAGGAGACAUACCAGGACUCUCUCCAAGGCACAGGUUGCUGCGGUUGGGGGAAUGCGUUUAGUGAGCACAUCGAGUGACAGGGUCGGAUGUGUGGAACCAAAGGAAUUAAUAAAUGCAGUUUACACAUUAAGUG
rnacentral:lncRNA from 1 species